CCCUUAGAUGUCCUGGGCCGCACGCGCGCUACACUGACAUGUUCAACAAGUUUCUCCUAGCUCGACAGGACUGGGAAAUCUUUGAACGCAUGUCGUGAUAGGGAUAGAUCAUUGCAAUUAUUGAUCUUGAACGAGGAAUUCCUAGUAAACGCGAGUCAUCAGCUCGCAUUGAUUACGUCCCUGCCCUUUGUACACACCGCCCGUCGCACCUACCGAUUGAAUGUUUCGGUGAAGAUUCCGGAUAGGACUGAUUUGAUUUAUUUCAUUUCUGACCUAAAAGCUAUCUAAACCUCAACAUUUAGAGGAAGGUGAAGUCGUAACA
rnacentral:rRNA from 1 species